rnacentral:rRNA from 1 species
UACGUAGGGUGCAAGCGUUGCUCGGAAUCACUGGGCGCAAAGCGCACGUAGGCGGACUCUUAAGUCGGUGGUGAAAUCCUGGAGCUCAACUCCAGAACUGCCUUCGAUACUGAGAGUCUCGAGUCCGAGAGAGGUGAGUGGAACUGCGAGUGUAGAGGUGAAAUUCGUAGAUAUUCGCAAGAACACCAGUGGCGAAGGCGGCUCACUGGCUCAGUACUGACGCUGAGGUGCGAAAGCGUGGGGAGCAAACAGG